rnacentral:ncRNA from 1 species
ACUUUACAGGGUCGUAUUAUCGCGUAUAAUUUCGACCUUAACUUGCGCGAGCAAGCUGAUGGUGCUUAGCCUAUCUAAGCCCCAUCCAAGACCGUAGGUGGAUAGCUUGCUAUUCUUAAUAACAAGCCUACGUAGAUGGUGAACAGACAGAAUUAUCUGCUUCUGGACACCUUAGCCUCAAGAAGAUGCCGUAUAAGCGGUAAUAUUUUUGGGAUUUUUUGUAAAUUCUGCUCACGAAAGUGGCAGAGUGUAUCAGGAGCUAAAACCA